UACGUAGGAGGCAAGCGUUGUCCGGAAUUACUGGGUGUAAAGCGCGUGUAGGUGGUGGGCCAAGUCUGUGGUGAAAUCGCCCGGCUCAACUGGGCGGGGUCCGUGGAAACUGGUCGACUGGAGGACGGUAGAGGCGAGUGGAAUUCCCGGUGUAGUGGUGAAAUGCGUAGAGAUCCGGAGGAACACCAGAGGCGAAGGCGGCCUACUGGGCUGCACCUGACGCUGAACCGCGAAAGCCAGGGGAGCGAACGGG
rnacentral:rRNA from 1 species